AGGAGCAACCACAGUGACGGUGGCCAGCUCUCCAGCCCUGGAGUCAGCUCCGGCAGUAGCUACAGAGCUCUCAGUCUGCAGGGGCCUGGAUGCUCCAGGGGCAG
rnacentral:pre_miRNA from 1 species